UGGGGAAUAUUGGACAAUGGGCGAAAGCCUGAUCCAGCCAUGCCGCGUGUGUGAAGAAGGUCUUCGGAUUGUAAAGCACUUUAAGUUGGGAGGAAGGGCAUUAACCUAAUACGUUAGUGUUUUGACGUUACCGACAGAAUAAGCACCGGCUAACUCUGUGCCAGCAGCCGCGGUAAUACAGAGGGUGCAAGCGUUAAUCGGAAUUACUGGGCGUAAAGCGCGCGUAGGUGGUUUGUUAAGUUGGAUGUGAAAGCCCCGGGCUCAACCUGGGAACUGCAUCCAAAACUGGCAAGCUAGAGUACGGUAGAGGGUGGUGGAAUUUCCUGUGUAGCGGUGAAAUGCGUAGAUAUAGGAAGGAACACCAGUGGCGAAGGUGACCACCUGGACUAAUACUGACACUGAGGUGCGAAAGCGUGGGGAGCAAACA
rnacentral:rRNA from 1 species